UGUUGCUUGCAAGGGCGUAUGGUGGAUGCCUUGGCAGACAGGACCGAUGAAGGACGUUUGAGGCUGCGAUAUGCCUCGGGGAGCCGCCAACAGGGCUUUGAUCCGAGGAUUUCCGAAUGGGGGAACCCACCGGCCGUCAUGGGUCGGUACCGGCUUCGGCCGGGGGGUACGCAGGGAAGUGAAACAUCUCAGUACCUGCAGGAAAGGAUAUUCCGUGAGUAGUGGCGAGCGAAAGCGGAUGAUGGCCAAACCUUGCGCGUGUGAUACCCGUCGGGGGUUGCGCGCGGGGUGUUGCGGGAUCGCGUGCGCCGGCUCCGACGGGCCGGCCGGCAGUUGCAGAAAACCAUGUGUGAGGGGAACCGGGUUGAAUACCGGGCCGCAGAGGGUGAGGGCCCCGUACCCGAACGCGCAUGGUCUGCCGAUCGCGUCUCCCAAGUAGCACGGGUCCCGUGGAACCCCGUGCGAAUCCGCCCAGACCGUUGGGUAAGCCUGAAUAUUCCUGUCUGACCGAUAGCGAACGAGUACCGUGAGGGAAAGGUGAAAAGUACCCCGGGAGGGGAGUGAAACAGUCUCUGAAACCGUGCGCCUACAAUCCGUCGGAGCCUUCUUUGUGGGGUGACGGCGUGCCUAUCGAAAAAUGAGUCUGCGAGUCAGUGGCAUGUGGCGAGCAUAACCCGUGUGGGGUAUGCGUAGCGAAGGCGAGUCUUAAAAGGCGUUUGAGUCGCGUGUCCUGGACCCGAAGCGGGAUGAUCUAGCCCUGAGCAGGUUGAAGCGCGGGUAAGACCGCGUGGAGGACCGAACCCACCUGGGUUGAAAACCGGGGGGAUGACUUGGGGCUAGGGGUGAAAGGCCAAUCAAAUUCCGUGAUAGCUGGUUCUCUCCGAAAUGCAUUUGGGUGCAGCGUCGGGUCAUUACGUCCCGGGGGUAGAGCUACUGGAUGCUUGCGGGCCCGUAUCGGGUACCAACAGCAACCAAACUCCGAAUACCGGUGACGCGUAUCCCGGCAGUGAGUCGGCGGGGGAUAAGCUUCGUCGUCGAAAGGGAAACAGCCCAGACCGUCGUCUAAGGUCCCGAAGCGUGUGCUAAGUGGGAAAGGAUGUGGAGUCGCAUAGACAGCCAGGAGGUUGGCUCAGAAGCAGCCAUCCUUGAAAGAGUGCGUAACAGCUCACUGGUCUAGUGGUUCCGCGCCGACAAUGUAGCGGGGCUCAAGCACACCACCGAAGACGCGGCAGUAUCGUUUGGUACUGGGUAGGAGAGCGUCCCAUGAGGGGCGAAGCGGGCGUGGAAGCGUCCGUGGACUUCAUGGGAGUGAGAAUGCAGACAUGAGUAGCGAAAGACGGGUGAAGAUCCCGUCCGCUGGAUGACCAAGGGUUCCAGGGCCACGUUCAUCGUCCCUGGGUGAGUCGGGUCCUAAGGCGAGGCCGACAGGCGUAGUCGAAUGGAUGAACGGGUCGAUAUUCCCGUACCGGCUUUCAGCCGCCAGAACCGAGGCUUGGAGUACUAACCUCCGGGUCCGGGCUUACCGCUCCUUCGGGAGGGGGAUGCCCUGGCCUGUUGGGACCGAUCCUUGUAGUAGGUCAGCGCAGGAGUGACGCAGAAGGGUAGCCGGCCGCGGAGGUGGUUUUCCGUGGUCAAGCACGCAGCCCGUCCCGUAGGCAAAUCCGCGGGGCGUGUGGGCGAGGUGCGAUGGUGGGGGCCUUAUGGCCCGAUAUCCGGUGAUCCCGGCUGCCGAGAAAAGCUUCGGCGUCAGGCUCGAAGCCGCCCGUACCCCAAACCGACACUGGUGGUCAGGUAGAGAAUACCAAAGCGAUCGAGCGAAUCCUGGUCAAGGAACUCGGCAAAUCACUCCCGUUCCUUCGGUUUAAGGGAGACCCCCGAUGGUGAGCCGCCUCGCGCGGGGAGCUUUUGGGGGUGGCACAGACCAGGGGGUAGCGACUGUUUACCAAAAACACAGGUGCAUGCGAAGGCGCAAGCCGCUGUAUAUGCACUGACGCCUGCCCGGUGCCGGAAGGUUAAGAGGAUCCGUCAGCCUUCGGGUGAAGCGGUGAAUUCAAGCCCCGGUAAACGGCGGUGGUAACUAUAACCAUCCUAAGGUAGCGAAAUUCCUUGUCGGGU
rnacentral:rRNA from 1 species